UGCAGUCGAGCGGAAGGCCCUUCGGGGUACUCGAGCGGCGAACGGGUGAGUAACACGUGAGCAACCUGCCCCAAGCUUUGGGAUAACCCUCGGAAACGGGGGCUAAUACCGAAUAGGACCGCUGGCCGCAUGGCUGGUGGUGGAAAGUUUUUCGGCUUGGGAUGGGCUCGCGGCCUAUCAGCUUGUUGGUGGGGUGAUGGCCUACCAAGGCGACGACGGGUAGCCGGCCUGAGAGGGCGACCGGCCACACUGGGACUGAGACACGGCCCAGACUCCUACGGGAGGCAGCAGUGGGGAAUAUUGCACAAUGGGCGGAAGCCUGAUGCAGCGACGCCGCGUGAGGGAUGACGGCCUUCGGGUUGUAAACCUCUUUCAGCAGGGACGAAGCGAGAGUGACGGUACCUGCAGAAGAAGCACCGGCCAACUACGUGCCAGCAGCCGCGGUAAGACGUAGGGUGCGAGCGUUGUCCGGAUUUAUUGGGCGUAAAGAGCUCGUAGGCGGCUUGUCGCGUCGACCGUGAAAACUUGGGGCUCAACCCCAAGCCUGCGGUCGAUACGGGCAGGCUAGAGUUCGGUAGGGGAGACUGGAAUUCCUGGUGUAGCGGUGAAAUGCGCAGAUAUCAGGAGGAACACCGGUGGCGAAGGCGGGUCUCUGGGCCGAUACUGACGCUGAGGAGCGAAAGCGUGGGGAGCGA
rnacentral:rRNA from 1 species